AUGAUGUAAGUUUCUCAACCAGGGAUUGAACACAGGCCACAACAGUGUAAGCACCAAAUCCUAAACAGUGGACUGCCAAGGGAACGCCUCCCUGAGACCAUUGUUAAUAGGUUUUAUUAUAUUAAAUAUUACUUAGUUGAUAUCAAGGGAGAAACUGACUUUCAGGGUUUUUGAUGCCAAAAAUCUUGGCUAAGUUUUCAGCUAGUGUACCCAGACUUAAAAAGCGAUGGAGAUAAGACCCACUAAUCUCUUGCAUUUAUAGUGGCUUUCGCAUUCCAGUAAGAAUGAUGUAGCCUGUGUUAUAUUCACUUUUAUGUAAACUUAAGAGAACUAUAGGUUGUUAAAGCAAAAGACUGUCUCACAAUUUCAAUGACUUAAUAGAUACUCCCUCUUAUUUCCCCAAGAGUUCUAGGUGAAAAAUGGUAUUUUUUCCUAAAUCAUUGAGACAUUUAAUGAAAGGAACUGUGAGCACACAUAAAUAUAACCUCUGGUUCUGACUUUUCUGUAAAAGGAGAUGCUGUUAAAUUGUGAUGUUGAAUUGGCCAAAAAGUUUGAGUUUUCCCCCAAGAUCUUACAGAAAAACAAAUCUUUUUGGCCAACCCAGUAAUUUGCAAGCUUACAUUCUUCUAUGAGAUACAGCUUGUAUUAAAAAAAAAAAAAAAGACUCUGCCUAGAGGAUUUUUUGCUUCAUUUACACAUUUUUUUGUGAAGGCUUAGUUUUACAAAAUAUAGGAAAUGUACAUUGCUGAUCAUUUGCCCUGUAAUACCUUAUAUGUUAUGAACAUUUCCUGGCACAUUUUUAUUUUACUUAGUUGUUAUCUGAGAGGGUAGGACAAAUCUUUCUUUUUUAAAAAAAAUUUUAAAGCUGUAUGUUCUGAGGAAGAAGACUAUCAAACCCUACCUAGUUCAUAGAGCAUUAUUCAAAUUAUCCCCAAAUUCCCUAAGUUACUCUUAACAUUUUACUAGUUAAGAGUCAACCUGUUUAACAGAUAUAAAUCAAAAUGAGCAAUAUGAGUCUACUUUUUUUGUGUUAGUAACUUGUGUUUUUAAAAUUUUAGAAUUAGUGUUCAUUUACUUAUGGGCUCUCAGUUCUGAAAUUCUUGGCAAAACUCAUUUGGUGUUAGGCUGUUAAGCUGAUCAGGACACAGAAGACAGUGUAACUGUGAAACUAGCCUCCCAAAUUUGCUCUCCUACUGAUACUGAUUUAUACAUUUUCUAGAAAUUACAGAGUGUAAAUGUUCUCGUAAGCAUCAGCAAUCUCCUCUUCCUGCCCAUUCCCAGUAAACUGUCUUUAACAUCAUGUAUUCAUAUUUUAUUGUCAGAAUGAAGCAUUUUAUUGCACCUUUUCCUAGGGAGCUUGGUGGUUUGGGAAUGAUAACUCUUUUAAGUUGAUUUUCCUCUCCCCUCUAUUUUCAAGAACUGUUCACAGGUAAUCAGUAGCCCAGUAGGAAAAUUAUAUUUUUUACAAGCGUUAAGGAAUUAAUGAUUCAGUGGUUAGGACUUGGCAAUUUCACUGCUUGGGUUCGAUCCCUAGUCAGGGAAUUAAGGUCCCAAAAGCAGCACUGCAUAACCAAAAAGGGUUUAAAAAAAAAAGUUUAAAAAUUUUUGGCCUCCCAGUGUGGCAUGUGGGGUGUUAGCUCCAUGACCAGGGAUCGGACCCUCAACCCCUGCAUUGGACCUCCAGUAAAGUCCCCAAAAAGCUUUCACUUUUCUGACACCCUGAGUCACUCUCCUUGGAAAGUUUCCUUGGUGCUUUGCCGGUUCUCUCUGUGACUAUCUUGUUCUUAUCUGUUCUAUUGCCCUUUUUUCCUUCUAUGCUUGUUUUCUUGAUCUCAACUAUUAUUUCCAGCUGCAUGUCACAUCUGUGUGGACUCCUGCUGUAAUGUCAGGACUUGAUUAAUCUGUGUUCUAUGCAGGUUUGCCUCGUCAGCUUUUCGCUGUACACGUUCGAGCGCUUUGCCCUGUCAGUGGUUAUAUACUGUUAACUUACCACACAGUUACAUCCGAUGACUUGUUAAAUAAGCCUGAAAAUCCUCUGUCCAAGUCCUGCUGUACCCUUUGAGAAUUAAUGUCUGAUUGAACUUUGUAUUUACAAAUACUUUAAGUGUUUCCAGAUGUGUAAGUGGCACGUUAUAACCACUCUCCAUAUCUAUUUCUACAAUAGCACUGUCUAGUAGAAGUAAACUGCAAGCCAUAUAUGUAAAUUAAAAUUUUAUAAUUUGGCCUGAGCUCAUCCUUCUGGUCUUAAAUUUCCAUUGGUCUCGCCUUGUAAACAAACUGCUAGCGUUGUCUGUCUUUGGUGCACUUCACAUUUCUGGUAUCUUACCUAAUGGGUGUCCCCACCCUACCCAUCUAAGCCAAGUGGUCAAAAAUCCUCUUCAGUGAAAACAGUAAAGUCUCCUUGCUGCAGGUGAAUUAAAAUGAUCACAAAGUAUCCCUGAGGAACAGUUAGAACAGUAAAAAUCUUGGCUUUCUGGAGCUAAUACAAGGCCGUUAGCUGAUUUUUCUUCCUUUAUUGCUUGUGCUACAGGUUUGUAACAGCUAUUUAUGUGUAAGUCAAAAUCCCAAAUUUAUGAACCUCUGCUUGAAGGAGCAAAACUGUGGUGUUGAAAAAUCUGACAAUAUUUGCAAAUACGAUAUUUCUAUGCUUCAUAAUUGCAAGAAGAAUCUUCAGAAAUAGUUACAUUUACUGUUGCUACUAUCCUUCAAAUUCAUUUUCUGUCAACAGUGUUACGUGUUCAUUACCAUUUCCCAUCCUCUGCUGUUAUCAAUAGCAGUUUCAUAGGCUGCUUUACGGGGCUUCCCUGGUGACUCAGGAAAGAAUCUGCAUGCAGUGCAGGAGACUAGGGUUUGAUCCUUGGGUGGGGAAGAUCCCCUGGAGAAGGGGAUGACAGCCCACUCCAGUACUCUUGUCUGGAGACUCCAUCCCAUGGGGAGAGAAGGCUGGCGGGCUACAGUUCGUGGCGUUGCAGAGUCAGACGUGACUGUGCUGCUAGUGGUAAGAGGCUGUGAAACUUGGUAGAGAGCGAAUACAUAGGCUUACACUGAUUUAGGGAUAAUAUAUGAGGUAUCACCGACAUCUGAAAAUCCAGGACAUGUAAAGGUCUGUUUAGGUAGGUGUCAGUUGUUUGUCUUUUAACUGUGAGGCUUUGCAAAAAUUGCUCCAACCCUGCCAUCAGUGUUUCUGUGGGCAUUCUUGGAGAAGCUUUCUUAGUCUUUGGAGAUACAGAACUGAAAGUGAGCUGUUUUUUUUUUUUUGUUAUAUGGGUUGGUGGUUUUUUUUUUUAAACAAUGGAAGAGAAGUGCUCACUGAACAUCUGGAUAAUUCAAUUAUAUUGAAUAAAUACAUAUCUUGAACUUUUCACAAAAUCAAAGCAUAUAGGCCACAUGACUUUGAUAAUCCUCAGAAUUCAGACUGUUUUGAGAUGUGUUGUUCUGAGCUAAAAAUAGAAAAAAUUAAAUGGUAACUCAAUAUACAGGGACAAUUUUCAAAUUGUUUCAAUAAAAAUUUCCAAAAUUACUUAACUGUUCAAGAUUUCUAUUUAGAUACACUGUAUGGAGCUGUGGUGUUUUUUUUUUUUUAAUGUUUUAAAUUGGAAUCAGUUUAUCAAAUACAAUAUAGUUUCUAUCUAUAUGAAAGGAAUAUAAAAAUUUAUUUUAAUUACUUGUUAGCAGCCUUCUAGAAUUGGAAUUGAAGUACCAGUAUUAGUGAUCUUCACAGUUCUGAACCAACUCUAAUUGCAUGUGGUUUAUAGGUACCAUGGCAAAAUGCUUUUGUUUUUAUAUUCUAGAAAACAGCUACUGAGAAAGAAGAGGAAUGAUUACAAAGACUUUACAAAAUAUUUUCAAGUUACUGAAGUCAGUUGAAAGCUGUAUUUAAACAUCUGCAUAUAAAGCCGUUGCCUAGUCAACAUAAGAAAUAAGGCAUGCGUGUGUGCUCAGCCGUGACCGACUCUUUGUGAUUCCAUGGACUGUAGCCUGUCAGACUCCUCUUCCAUGGAAUUUUCCAGGCAAGAAUACUGGGGUGGGCUGCUCUUUCGUACUCCAGGGCAUCUUCGCAACUCACGUCUCUUCCAUCUCCUGCAUUUACUGGUGGAUUCUUUACCACUAAUGCUACCUGGAAAACCUUAUCAACAGGCAGGUGAAUAUAUUUUCAGUUUCUAAUCAGUUAAUAAUUUAUAUUUUCUGAAGUUAUGAUCUAUUAACAUCAAAGUGAAGUUUGAGAGGAGGGUUAUUCCAACAUAUCUUAGAAAUAAGAUGAUAAACAUGAAGUGUUUAAUUUUUGGUGCUAAGAAACAGGAGACAGCUCAGAAUUUCAAGCCUAGAUAGCUUUUACCCAGAGUAUUUCUUUGAUCCACUGGUUCUGUAAAGUAGUAGUUCUUCAUAUCUAACCGUUGGAUGUCUGUCUUCAUGACUGCACAAGAAAGUGGGGGUUGGUUAAAUACGAAAGUAGCUGCAUUUUUACAUCUUGAACUCCCAUCGAAAAGUUCCUUAAUGCUCUUCCUUCAAUUGCAUAUUCUCCAUCGUAAUGAGUUCUUUCUUUUGAAAACCAAGGAAGGGAACAUUUUGUGAGGUAUAGAAGGCAAAUUAAUCCUUUUACAGCUAUCAUAUCCAGAGGUUGAUACAUAGGGAUAGGUUGUAGGGAGAUGAGGCUAUUAUGAAAUGUAAAAUUAAGACUAAAAGUAACAUUAAAAAUGCCACAAAAGGUAAAACAAGAACAUUGAUGCUUUGAGAUUGGGGGUGGGGGGGCAGGGAACUGGGGUUGGAAAUGCCAAUCCUGUGAUAGGAGAACAUACUCCAAAUUACAGGAGGCAACUGUGACAGGGAGAGGCUGAAACGGCUUCAAGGGGUAAGUAUUCCUUUCUCCUUUACACACUCAGAUGCCACACAAACAGUGGCCCUCUACAGUUAAAGUCUGGUGUAUAUUCAGGGUCAUCAGAGUUAAGUAGGCCUAGUCACAAGGGAUUCAAGUAGUCAACACCAUCUUUUCAAAUUUCUGAAGCAUUUUAAAUACUUUGCCUUGUGCUGCAUCACUUCUGAAAAUUAAGUGAAAGCAAAGAGAUAAAUCCUCGUAUGCUCAAAUUGUUGUCUUCCCAGAGGACUUUCUUGAUCCUCAACCAGUUGAAAAUUUCCCUUUCCCAGCAUCUGUCAUUAAAAAAAAAAGCUGUUACAGCCUUUAUAUAUAAAUAUGCCCUGUAUGAUACGUUAUUUUUCUUAUGUGACAUGUCUCCUUCACUAGAUUGUAAGCCUUUGGAGGUCAGCAAGAGAGCAUCUAAAUCAUUUUAUCUGCCACCACAUUUAGUACAGUGCCUUACACUUAUUUGCUAAUUUAAUAAACAUUAAAAUGGAGAUAUUGUAGUUUGAUGUUUAUGAGCUCUUUAGAUGAACGCACUAUUAACCAUUUACUAUUUAUAUUUUGAGAAUGUACCACUAGCAUAUGUGAUAACCGUGGCAUUUAUAAAAAAUUUAUGUCUUUAAUUGUCCUGACUCUCCACAAGUAAUACUAGUCUGGAGUAGCACUGUCUAGUAGAUAUAUAGUACAAGCCACAUUUGCAAUUUUCUACUUGCUAUAUUACAAAAGUAAGAAAGAGGAGGUUAAUUUUUAGCCCAUUAUUUCCAAAAUACCAUUUAACAUGUAAUCAACUUUUGAAAAAGUUGAGAUAGUUGAUACUAUUGUUUUCAUGUUAAGGCUUCAAAAUCUGAUGUCUAUUUUGCACUUACAGCACAUCUCUUCAAAUUAUCCACAUUUCAAGUGUUCAGUAGCAGCAUAAUGCAUAGUGGCUGCAAUACUUGCACAGUGCAGGUCUGGAACUCGAGGGCAGGCGGCAAACUUUUGGACUUCGGUUUUCAAGCUAUCUUACAGCUUUAAUUUUAUGUCAUUGUCAUUUUAGGUGGUUACAAUCCAAAUAAAGCUAAUUGGUUUGGCUUUUUUGUUUGUCAUGUUAAUCCAUAAAAUAUUUUUUUGUAUUAAGCAUUUUAAAUAAUAGCCACUUUCUACCCAAUUUAAUCUUAAGACUUCUGAGGAAUGUAACUUUUAGAGUUGAGAAUGUUGGGUUUGAGAUACACCAAGUUUUAACUGUGCUCAAUGAAACUGCUAGUAGAAGGUGAAGCUGAUUUCCGAACCAGGAUUGAUUAUGGAUAUCCCAUAUCCUCACUAGGAAGUUCAUAUCUUUUUUUUUUUUUUUUUUCGUAUUUAUUUGGCUGCUUCGGGGGUCGCAUCAUGUGGGAUCUUAGUUGUAGCAUGUUGGAUCUAGCCCCCUCCAGGGAUUGAACCCUAGCCCCCUGCAUUGGGAGUGCAGAGUCUUAGCCUCUGGACCACCUGGGAAGUUCCCAGGAAGUUCAUAUCUUUUAAUAAAAAGUUGGAAAGAAA